GCAAACUUGGAGACACCAGGCACUGCAGGAUACCAAAGAGUCACAACCCUGUUUUGGGGAGCUUCCAGGUCUGGGCUCCCUGAAGGACUGUGGCUCUUCUCUCCUUCUCUUUGCCUGCAACGUGAGACUGUGUGUCUAUGUUUCCGAGGCUGGUCUCGAAUUCCUGGCUUGAAGUGAUCCUCUGGCAUUGGACUCUCAAAGUGCUGGGAUUAUAGGGGUGAGCCACUGCACCAAGCCCAGACCUCUCCUAUUAGAGGCUUUCUCUGAUUUAGGAAUCAGACAUGACUGCUUCCUCCUCUGGGCAACUUCUUUCCCCCCUCCCAUGGUUCUAUUAUUGUCUUUCCUCCUCUCCAGCACCGUGUUGGUUUCCACACAUGAGCAGUGGUGAUCCCUUACCAGAGCAUGAGCUUCUUAAGGACAGUCUGAGUAUUAUUCACCACUAUGUCUGCAGGCCCUAGCUGAGUCCUUUACACAGAGUGGGCAUCCAGAAAGAUUUGUUGAGUUUAGUUGGGUUAGAUUGCUGCAUAUUGCAAAACUUUUCCUGGGACUCUUUCCCUAGGACUCUGGUGACCAAGCCACUUUCCUGCAUACAGCAAGAGCUUUUGGCUGGGCCUCAGCUGCCAUUCCUGUACAUUCAGAAUGAUCCACCAGGAUUCUGUUGUCAAGAGGGCCUGUAAUGGAGACACAGGGAAGGAGAUGAAGAUGACGGCUUCAGUGAGAAGCAGCAUACUGUGCUGCUUCCUGUGCACCCCCUCAAAUGGUUCUGCAGAAGACGGAAAGCUAGAGAUGCUCCUGACCAAAGAAUGCCCCUCUCUCUGGAAAUAAUGCAUGUCUGGGAACAAUGGGUGUGAAAGGAGAGAAGAGGAGAACAGCUACCUGGAUUGCCAGGUGGACUCCAGCCACCUUAGCCACCAGGGAUGUGGCUGAUGUCACUACAAGCAGCACAUACAACAUCAAGGACUCCAAUAAGAUGAUUUGAGCUUCUUCUUUGGGGUAGUAGGGGUCAGAACAGACACAUCCUGCUUUCUGAAGAGUGAAAUAUUUACCCCAGGAGCUGGUAAGGAUGAGGCCUGCGACAGCAAUGCUGUCAUCUGAGAGCCCCUCUAUGCCUGCUUGCUGGAAGAGAUCCCAAAGCUGAGCCUUUGGAAAUGGCACUGGCUCAUUAUCAUCACUGACCCACGUUCCAUGUCUCCUUGCCCUGAGGAAUUAUGAAUUAUGUGACAAGUAAAUCCUCGACAUUCUUAAAAGUCAGCAGAAAUACAGCCCUAAACUCCUGGGCUCAAGUGAUCCUCCUGCCCUAGCCUCUCGAGUAGCUGGAACUACAGGCAUGCAUCAACAUGUCCAGACUUUAUUUGUUGUUGUAGAUAUGGGGUCUUGCUAUAAUGCCUAGGCUGGUCUCAAAGUGCGGGCUCAAGCAAUCCUUCUCUCUCAGCCUCCCAAAUUACUGGGAAUACAGACAUCAACCACUGAGCCUGAUCUUGAUAGAAAUUCUUAGUAAAAAGGAUGACUUUUAAAUAUUAAAUCUAGAUUCUCAAGCAGUAUGGUAAACUAUUUUUGAAAAGCCAUAUACAAUUAAAUUUGUAUAUGUUAAAACUUGCAAAAUAAUCUUGAGUAGGCUGGACGUGGUUGCUUAUGCCUGUAAUGCCAGCACUUUGGGAGGCCAAGACCAGCGGAUCACAAGGUCAGGAGAUCGAGACCAUCCUGGCUAACACAGUGAAACCCCGUCUCUACUAAAAAUACAAAAAAUUAGCCGGGCAUGGCGGCGUGUGCCUGUAGUCCCAGCUACUUGGGAGGCUGAGGCAGGAGGAUGGCGU
rnacentral:lncRNA from 10 species